rnacentral:rRNA from 1 species
ACUCCUACGGGAGGCAGCAGUGGGGAAUAUUGGACAAUGGGGGGAACCCUGAUCCAGCCAUGCCGCGUGUGUGAAGAAGGCCUUAUGGUUGUAAAGCACUUUAAGCGAGGAGGAGGCUACUGAGACUAAUACUCUUGGAUAGUGGACGUUACUCGCAGAAUAAGCACCGGCUAACUCUGUGCCAGCAGCCGCGGUAAUACAGAGGGUGCGAGCGUUAAUCGGAUUUACUGGGCGUAAAGCGUGCGUAGGCGGCUUUUAAGUCGGAUGUGAAAUCCCCGAGCUUAACUUGGGAAUUGCAUUCGAUACUGGGAAGCUAGAGUAUGGGAGAGGAUGGUAGAAUUCCAGGUGUAGCGGUGAAAUGCGUAGAGAUCUGGAGGAAUACCGAUGGCGAAGGCAGCCAUCUGGCCUAAUACUGACGCUGAGGUACGAAAGCAUGGGAGCAAACAGGAUUAGAUACCCCUGGUAGCGACUGA